rnacentral:autocatalytically_spliced_intron from 1 species
CAAGUCCCAUCCGGCCAAAGCCUUAGCGGGCAAGCCGGGACCGAGUCUUGCGGGCGUCGCGGUAACGCGGGGUCUGAAGUGUAGACAGGAGCCAUGCGGGGUGCGGGAAUGAGCCUCGAAAGGUGGAUGUGGUCUUGGCUCUGCGCAGGAUCAAGGCGAUUUAUGAUACCUACAAUGAAGACCGAAGAGAUCA